rnacentral:rRNA from 1 species
GAAGAUGGGAGCUUGCUCCCUGAUGUUAGCGGCGGACGGGUGAGUAACACGUGGGUAACCUGCCUGUAAGACUGGGAUAACUCCGGGAAACCGGGGCUAAUACCGGAUGCUUGUUUGAACCGCAUGGUUCAAACAUAAAAGGUGGCUUCGGCUACCACUUACAGAUGGACCCGCGGCGCAUUAGCUAGUUGGUGAGGUAAUGGCUCACCAAGGCAACGAUGCGUAGCCGACCUGAGAGGGUGAUCGGCCACACUGGGACUGAGACACGGCCCAGACUCCUACGGGAGGCAGCAGUAGGGAAUCUUCCGCAAUGGACGAAAGUCUGACGGAGCAACGCCGCGUGAGUGAUGAAGGUUUUCGGAUCGUAAAGCUCUGUUGUUAGGGAAGAACAAGUGCCGUUCAAAUAGGGCGGCACCUUGACGGUACCUAACCAGAAAGCCACGGCUAACUACGUGCCAGCAGCCGCGGUAAUACGUAGGUGGCAAGCGUUGUCCGGAAUUAUUGGGCGUAAAGGGCUCGCAGGCGGUUUCUUAAGUCUGAUGUGAAAGCCCCCGGCUCAACCGGGGAGGGUCAUUGGAAACUGGGGAACUUGAGUGCAGAAGAGGAGAG